CAGUGCAAUAUUAAAAGGGC
rnacentral:miRNA from 1 species